rnacentral:miRNA from 1 species
CAGCAGACACAUUCCAGCCAAUCAGCAGCAGACCCUCCCUCCCAGACCCUCCCACCUCCUGGACAGCAUCCAUUUUACAUUCAUUGUGAAGCUGCAUUCUUAGUGAGCUGUCCAGGAGGCGGGAGGGUCUGGGAGGGAGGGUCUGCUGCUGAUUGGCUGGAAUGUUUCUGCUG